UACAUCAAAGUCAAACUCGAUUUUCGCUCUGUGUAGGUAACUCUUUCUCGUCUCGUUUGGUUCUAUUCGAGCACUUCGAGUAAACAAAAUGAGCUCGAAGAAGUUUGUAACUGUGCGUCAGCUUGAAUUACUGAGUUCAUGGAACAACACAGAGACCCUGCGCUGGGAAGAGUACGCUCGAAAGAAGGUCGUGCUUGUUCCCAGCGAUUAUGGACUCAGUUGGGUGAGAUCCUAAAUACGGAGGAUGUUGGUGGUGUAUAUGAAGCCCUAAAGAGUGGUAUAAAUUUUAUAAUAACUAUAAGUGCAGGAUCAAAAAUAAAAUGAGAAGGACUGCACAAAGCUUGCAGCAGACUGGUGGAGGACCAUCGGAAGCAGUGCCACUAUGCCACUAUCCAGUCUGGUGGAAAGACUUUGUGCAAUUUUGGGUCCGGAUCAAUUUAAGCCUCUACCAGUCAAUCACAACUCGGUACCAGACCAUAUAAUCGAGAAUAUCCCAUUAGGUGAUAUACAGAUAGAAGAUACAUCUAUGGCACAUUAUGAAGUUGAAUUGAAUGAGACUGUGAUGACUGAGUCUACAACUGCCAACUCCACUAUCCAACCAUUAAGUUACAUAGAUCAGCCUUCUAUAUACUACUAGACAUGUGCAAUGUUCCACUGAAGCCCGUUCUAAGCGCCACAAGCGUAGGUAUUAUAAAAUAAAGUGAAGUAGGCAAAACUAGGCAAAUGCUAACAGGAAUUCAAAAUAAGAAAAUAGAAAUUUACCAAGCACACCUGCAAGCUACCAAAGAAAGAAAUUUAAUAGAAAAAGAAAAGGUGGCAGCAAUAAAAGAAUUGACAACGACUUAAAGGAUUACUUAACUUAGAGAGAGAAACACAUAUAUGAAGGAAAUGUGUGCUGAGUGAUAGUAAUUAGUUUUAAGAAAUAUUGUAGAUACUCUCAAGAAGGGCGAUGAUUUAUUUCUGAACACAACCUUUGAAUCAAAGCCUGCUGUGCCAUCCUGCCAUGCUGAAGAUCUAUGUUAACACGGCUGUGGUUUUGAAGUUCUGGGAAUACAUCCCCAAUAUAAUUAUAAACUGUUUGUGAUUCCUGCUCCACAUGAAGUUCUUCUUGUGAAAGAUUUGGGAUUGUCAAACGAGCCUUAUUUGCUAUGUUGUGCAUUAAUUAUACCACCUGCAGUUAUUGGAUCAUAAUGCAGCUUAUGGGCCACCAACAAACAUCUGCAAAUUAUAAAUUUUAUCAUGAUAGGUACCUACUCAUUAAAUAAAAGUCAUUUAUAUGUUAGUUCAUACAUGUACCUGAAGGGAGAUUUUUUUUUUUUUUUUCUUCUUUUGGCAAUAGCGUUUACUUUUUGCCAAUAACGUAAAUUAAAAGAUUGGGAAACUAAGUUAAAAAAGGAUACGGAACACGGGAAAGGAUCAGAUAAGUAGAAAGAGGAUUGAAACGGAUAUUAAAAAUUUCAUAAAUAUACAUAUAUACUUGCUACUUACACAACAUUACAAAUAUUUAAACUUUGAUAUGAUUCUGAAGAAUGAAAGAUGACAAUAUUUUAUAAAAUUUACAUGGAUACAUAAUUAGACAGGAUAUACAGGUAGGAAAAGGAACAUUAAGAGAUAUUAGAUCAUUCAGGAAUGAGGAGCGGUCGUAUAGAGAACAUGAAAAGAAAAUGUGAUCUAGAUCACAUUUAUCGGAUUCACAUUCACACAUGUCAGUAGAUACAAUGCCUAAUCUGUUAAGAUGAACAGGAGUGCAAACAUGACCCAAACGCAUUCUUAUGAUAGAAGAACAUACUAACUUAUUGCAUUUGGCACAGAAAAACCAUGGUUUAAAUGAAAUAAGUGGCUGAAGGUUAAAAUAUUUCCUGCCUUUUGAUUGACCAGUUUCAGUCCAAAGUCUAUUCCAACAAUCCUGAAGGUGAACUAUAGGAACAGCACCUAGAUCCUGGCAAAAAACUUUAUAAGGGAAAAUGUCGCCAUCGACCACGGCUUCAUUAGCUAGUUGGUCUGCUUUUAUAUUACCAGGAAUGUCGCUAUGGCUGGGGAUCCAUACAAACAACACAGAAAGACCAAAGUGAUUGCAUUUAUUUAAUAGAUUUCUUAAUUCUAUGACAACAGAAGAAAUGUUUUUUGAUUUAAAUGGGAACCUAUUGAGAGACUGUAAGGCACUUUUUGAAUCAGAGAAAAUUAUUGUUUUUGGAAGUUUAAAUAGAAUAAUAUAUUCAAUAGCCUUAAAAAUACCAUAACAUUCCCCAGUAAACACCGAUGUUUCCGGAGGUAGUUUAAUUUUCUGUGAUAUUUUAAAUUGAGCGUGAUAGACACCUACACCAACGGGAUCCGAGGAGGAAUGUUUAGACGCGUCUGUGUAAAUAUGAUGGUGAUAGAUCAAGGCCAUUAAAGUCCAACCAAGUUUUUAAAUUUAUCAGCGGUUGUGUUAUAGAAGAACUAGCUUUUUCAAUAGAAAUAUCACGACAGUAAAUUAAUAGAUCAUCAGCAUACUGAAGAACAUUUACACUAUUAAGUGAUGAUUUUAAAUCGUGUGUAUAAAUAUAAUACAAUAUUGGGCUAAGUACUGAUCCCUGGGGGAGGCCCUUUGAAACAAGUCGAGUAAUUGACUUCCUGUCAUCUAGUUUCAGUAUUAUGUAUCUUUCGGAAAGCAUGUUUAUGAUAAAAUUUGUUAAUAAAUAGCAGAGGUAUAUUAAGUUGUAAAAGCUUACUCUUUAAAAUACUUAUUACGACAUUAUCAUAGGCACAAUUUAUAUCUAAGAACGCAGCUAUUACUGAUUUAUUAUUUGAAAAUGAUAAUUGAAUAUCAGAAAUGAAUAUAC